GCCGGCGGCUCGAGUGGUGGCCACUAUUACUGGGAAAAAAGGGGAAGAAGCUGGCUUGUUAAGUCUCUGGGGAAAUCUUCCGGCUCAACCGGAAGGCGUCUCAGGGAUACUGGCAGGCUAGGGACCGGAAGAGGUGAGAGGUACUCCAGGGGUAGGAGUGAAAUCCUGUAAUCCUUGGGGGACCACCUGUGGCGAAGGCGUCUCACCAGGACGGCUCCGACAGUGAGGAACGAAAGCUGGGGGAGCAAACCG
rnacentral:rRNA from 1 species